ACUCAUCAUGUGUGUGUUUCUCAGUGUGUGGGAGCCACUGUUUGUAUGCCAGGUACAGUAUGUUUGCAAGUUUACUGAGUUUAUUUGUUCAGGUGUUUGUUGUGCUGCUCGCCAUGGUGUUUCCUGUUUGUAUUUGGGUUGCAAUGCGUCUAUUGUGCCAAGAAGGGUUUUCGCUGUUUCUAAGUGUCUUUCCUGCAUUUAAAGCACUGUGUUAUUGUCUUGGUGCUCACGUCUUUGUGUAGGCGAACCCAGACUAUUGUGCUGCCACUGGCCGCAGUGCUGGCACCGCUGCUGAUAUAGAGCUUAUUGAAAGUGAUUGUUGUUGCACAGAUGAGAGUUCAUCUCAAUAGGGGUCUGCGGCAAAGCAUUCAGACAUAGAGAGGGUCCUUUACCUGCCUCCACCAGACGCAUGUGAGAGAUAAGGUCACCUCAGGACCCCCUCCACCUUCACAGCGCCCUCAUCCUCCUCAGCCCACGAAACCUCGCCCCUCUAGUAAAACAAACCAAACAAUGGAGGCAGAUAUGUGAAGGAUUAGAGGUCAGAGGGUUGGGGAAUGCAACACCAACAUUUCCAGGAUCAAUCUUCAACCGUUCGGUAAUCUCUGGCCCCGGGCCCCACAUACCUCCAGUGGUCUCUGGCUGAGAGCUGGCAAUGCCAGGCGGAGUGAGCUGGUGCUCCUACUGAGUGUGGGGUGCUGAUAGAGAAUGGGGGGUGGGGUUAUAACCUGGUGGUGUGGAUGGAUGGAAAAGCAGAGGGAUGAGUAACAAAGGGUCCCCGCUUUAUAUCCCUACCUCGACUAAAUCCUCACAGAUAGAUGCGUGGGUGUUUUUGCCUAUGUAUGAGACGGACACAAUGUUAACGUGUGUCUGUGUACAUUGUGUGCAUGUGUUGGUAAAGUUUGUUUUUAAUCUCUAAAUGUGAAAUAACUGAGUUCUUCAGAGCAAACUGAAUAUUAUCCCCAAGUUGCCGUUGUUAUCUUGUGUACACACAUUUGUUUAUUUGAUACAGCCCCUCUCUACUACAGCACUUCUGUAUAUCAAAGACAGCAGUGCAGAGCGCAAUUGAAAAUGGCUACCGUGGAGAAAGGUCUCUCUCUGCCUUUGACUGCGAAGAGGCAGAAAAAGCCCCAUUCUCAGCUCCCUUCUUAGAUCUAUUUAAAUAAUUGAGGAGUAAACUGACAAAUUAGGCACCUUUAUGGACGCCCCUGGGCUCUCUCUGGGGUCCUUCAGUUUCCCCAAUAGAGAGCGCCACCAGCAACAGGAUAAUAUCUCUGCGUGCUUUGAGAGGGGGAGAAGGAGGGUAGUGGGCCAGGAGGGGUUUCGCCAAUCAAGCGGGCCACACUUCCUCCCCCAGGUUCUAAUUUUGUGCCACAUUAAAGAGCUCGGCCUCCAUUUAGGACACAGAGAGGCAUUUUCAUAAUUUGCCGGGUCUCUUGACUAGCUCGGGGUGCCUUUUUUCCUCUCUCUCCUCCCUCACUUUCUCACUCCGUGUCUGAAUGGAAGGCCUGGGGAGGAAGAGGGGUAAUUCAUUCGCCUCCUUUCAACCAACCCGCUUCAGUUCUGCAUAAUGUUGCUGCUAGGUGUGUAUUGUAGCAUAUAUUUAUCUCUUUAAUAGUUCUCUAUUAGACCUGAAUAUUAUUUGCCGUAUAAAAGCUAACACUGCUUAUUGUCAGCUGCACAAAAAUGGUGCCAUUCACAUUUUUGUUGAUACAUCUGGGCUGAAUCAUAUGCCUGUAUUUAAAUUAAGAGACGAGUUAAAGAGUGUAUCUAAUCUGCAGCCACACAGCUGUGAUGCUUGCAUUGAUAAAACCUGUGGUGUCUCAAAUGUACAGUACAUCCUCUAGGUUAUGGUGGUGUCAUUUCUUCCUGCUGACACCAUCCAUUCAUGCAGUACAGUAUGCGUAAGCAUUGAUUCAUGUGUGAUUGGUCACAUAAUUCAGUCUCAGGGGGCAUUUCAUCGCUGACAGACAAGCUAAUCUAAAAUCCCCCAAUUUACAAAUGGAAAAUCCCACCAUCCAAUUGAGCUAAUAGAGGGACUUGAAUGGGAUAAUAAGAUGUGGUGUAAUACUGUGUAAAAAGCCUGUAAUGUUGUGUUGGUGUAAGAGCCUGUGUGACUGGAUGUUUGACUGUUUGCAGUGAUUACAGGGGCCUGCGGGCCUGGCGGCGGCUCCGUGGCUGGGUCGGGGAGCUUCUCCCUGGGUAAGGAGAUACGCCUGUCUGCCCCUUCUGCUGGAGCUACAGGGACCGGGAUGUCAGGAGGGAGAGUGCACCCUUGCCUGUUUGUAUUUGUGAGCUGCUGCCUAAGCCUGUACGUUUCUACUGGACAUCAAAACCCUUCUCCCAACAUUGACAUAUGCCUAGAAAGAUGAGAGAAGGUUUGUGGAAUAUGAAGCUCUCGUAAACUAAUCUGGCAUAAUGCCCUGCAGUUUAUGUGAUGAUGUUUUGUGGAGGCUUGUUUUCCUGUGACAGGGGUCUGUGUGUUUGUGCGCUGAGGAGGUCAGAGUGUUGAGGAGUCAGCAGGGGGGCGGUGAUCAACAGACUGGGGGCUCCCCUGCUGAGGGGCUCCGGGAUUAGGGUUAAACCCUGCCCUGCCAGAUGGGCAAAACACAUCCCCAUCAUCGCACACCAGCACCUUCUUCUGUGGAAGCCAGGCGACUGGAACCAUGGUGAUACUCACUGGGCCACACAGAAUGGCGGCAGGAGAGACGACUCAGAUGAGGUACUCUUCAAAGUGUCAGCUCGUGGACAGUUUGGCCAGUCAGCAUGUUCAAGGGUAUCUGAAAUGAAAAGUACAGGUUGUUUUGAUGUGCUCUAUUUCAGAGCCACAGGCAACACUGAAAUGAUAAAGUGUGUGCAGGUAUAUGUGUGUGAGGGUAGAUUGGUGGCUCAGGAAUCAGCAGAGUGUUGAUUGCUUCUUGCCUGACUUUUAUCACACUCAGCUGCAACUAAAUAGUCUCCAUUUGAGUUUAUGAAUCCCUACAUUCCUGUAUUAAUGUCUUGUGUUAUUCCAUGCACUGCAAGAUAUUCAUUUUGUUCAAUCACUCUUUGUUUUUACCACUGGGUCAUAGUCUGGGAUUUAAUGGUUACACGAAGGACUGAUCGUCACCGUGGUAGCAUUUGCCAUAUACUGUCAAAUGUGCUACAAAUGUUGUAAUAAACACUUAAAAUAUGUGUUUAAAAGCCAUGUUACCAUCCAAGAGAGGCUGUGCUGCUUCUUAUACGUAAAAAAAAAAAAUGGCCAAAAAAAGAAUCCUGGCAGGCCUUUUUAAAAAAUAAAAUCUUUGCGUGUUAAAAUUCAGUCGUAUGAAGCUUCAACAUGCUGUAAGUCUUU